rnacentral:rRNA from 1 species
CACGUAGGGUGCGAGCGUUGUCCGGAAUUAUUGGGCGUAAAGAGCUCGUAGGCGGUGUGUCGCGUCGGCCGUGAAAACCUGCAGCUUAACUGUGGGCUUGCGGUCGAUACGGGCAUCACUGGAGUUCGGCAGGGGAGACUGGAAUUCCUGGUGUAGCGGUGAAAUGCGUAGAUAUCUGGAGGAAUACCGGUGGCGAAGGCGGCAUCCUGGACCAACACUGACGCUGAGGCGCGAAAGCUAGGGGAGCAAACGGG